CCCGCGAAAAUGUUGUAAGCGACAUUUUUUCGAUUUUUCUUUUUUGAUAGCAAUCGAUAAAGAAUACUCCAUUACGUCAAAUCGCAAAAUAUUAGAACUCUAUUAGGAACCGUUAUGAUAUUAGAGCAAAAACAAUUUUAAUGUAUGUACACUUUUUAUUUUGUUUACGUUUUAUGGUGACAGCGAAGUGUCGCUUACAUUAAAAUAACAUAUUAAGUUAUUAUGAAAUAAUUCGGUUAUUUACAAGGAAUUUCGCUCUGAACGGUUUUAAAUAAAUACCUUCUUCUAAAUGGCUCUUGUACCUUAUAGUGAUAGUGAAAGUGACAACCCAAUAGAAGAUGAAAUGAUCAUAGGCAAAAGAGGUUAUAAAGUGAAUAGAUUAAAACGAAUUGUUGGAAACUUAUCAAAAAGAGACACUUCCGUUCAACCUAACCCUUGCAUAAAUAAAAUAUGUGGGAAUGAAUGCGGCCAAAAACUUUCAGAGUUAGAUCGACAACACAUAAAUGAAUUUUACUGGGGAAUGGAUUCCAAAUCAAGGCAAACAAAUUGGUUAGCUUCUUGCGUAACACGAAAUAAUAUACGUAGACGAAGAUCGGACAGCAAUAAAAAAAGUAUAGUUAUUCCUACAUGAUAAACUUCAAAAAUAUUUAUUUUAAAGUUUGCCAACAAUAUUUGCUAAAAACUCUUCACAUUUCCCAAACUCGUUUAGUGUCAGCUCGAAAUCAGUCAAAUGUAACAAAUAUACGGACAGAUAAGAAAAAAUCUACUGCACCCCAUAAUAAAUCAGAUCCAUCAAAGGUGAACAUUUUGAAGAAUUUUAUUGAACAACUUCCCGC